AGUGAACGCUGGCGGUAGGCCUAACACAUGCAAGUCGAACGGCAGCACAGUAAGAGCUUGCUCUUACGGGUGGCGAGUGGCGGACGGGUGAGGAAUAUAUCGGAAUCUACUUUUUCGUGGGGGAUAACGUAGGGAAACUUACGCUAAUACCGCAUACGACCUACGGGUGAAAGCAGGGGAUCUUCGGACCUUGCGCAAUUGAAUGAGCCGAUGUCGGAUUAGCUAGUUGGCGGGGUAAAGGCCCACCAAGGCGACGAUCCGUAGCUGGUCUGAGAGGAUGAUCAGCCACACUGGAACUGAGACACGGUCCAGACUCCUACGGGAGGCAGCAGUGGGGAAUAUUGGACAAUGGGCGCAAGCCUGAUCCAGCCAUACCGCGUGGGUGAAGAAGGCCUUCGGGUUGUAAAGCCCUUUUGUUGGGAAAGAAAAGCAGCAGGUUAAUACCCCGCUGUUCUGACGGUACCCAAAGAAUAAGCACCGGCUAACUUCGUG
rnacentral:rRNA from 1 species